GAUUAGCUAUUGUGAGGUAAUGGCUCACCAAGGCGACGAUCCCUAGCUGGUUUGAGAGGAUGAUCAGCCACACUGGGACUGAGACACGGCCCAGACUCCUACGGGAGCAGCAGUGGGGAAUAUUGCACAAUGGGCGCAAGCCUGAUGCAGCCAUGCCGCGUGUGUGAAGAAGGCCUUCGGGUUGUAAAGCACUUUCAGUAAGGAGGAAAGGUUAAGUGUUAAUAGCACUUAGCUGUGACGUUACUUACAGAAGAAGCACCGGCUAACUCCGUGCCAGCAGCCGCGGUAAUACGGAGGGUGCGAGCGUUAAUCGGAAUUACUGGGCGUAAAGCGUACGCAGGCGGUUUGUUAAGCGAGAUGUGAAAGCCCCGGGCUCAACCUGGGAACUGCAUUUCGAACUGGCAAACUAGAGUGUGAUAGAGGGUGGUAGAAUUUCA
rnacentral:rRNA from 1 species